rnacentral:misc_RNA from 1 species
UUAAAGUACGAAAUUAAUUGACUCAUCUAUAACCGUUCUUUAUUUUUUUUAUUUUUUCAAUGAAU